UACGGGGGGAGCAAGCGUUGUUCGGAUUUACUGGGCGUAAAGGGCGCGUAGGCGGUCGUGACAAGUCACUUGUGAAAUCUCCGGGCUUAACUCGGAACGGUCAAGUGAUACUGUCGGACUAGAGUACAGAAGGGGCAACUGGAAUUCUCGGUGUAGCGGUGAAAUGCGUAGAUAUCGAGAGGAACACCAAUUGCGAAGGCAGCUCGCUGGGACGUCACUGACGCUGAGACGCGAAAGCGUGGGGAGCAAACAGG
rnacentral:rRNA from 1 species